AUACCGUGAGGUGGAGCAAAUCNCAAAACCCGGUCCUCAGUUCAGAUUGCAGGCUGCAACUCGCCUGCAUGAAGUUGGAAUUGCUAGUAAUCGCGAAUCAGAAUGUCGCGGUGAAUACGUUCCCGGGCCUUGUACACACCGCCCGUCACACCAUGAGAGUCGAUAACACCCGAAGCCUGUGAGCUAACCGCAAGGAGGCAGCAGUCGAAGGUGGGGUUGAUGAUUAGGGUUAAGUCGUAACAAGGUAUC
rnacentral:rRNA from 1 species